rnacentral:rRNA from 1 species
GANGNGCGUGGCNNNCACCCUAUACAUGCAAGCUCGAGCGGCAGCACGGGUACUUGUACCUGGUGGCGAGCGGCGGACGGGUGAGUAAUGCCUAGGAAUCUGCCUGGUAGUGGGGGAUAACGCUCGGAAACGGACGCUAAUACCGCAUACGUCCUACGGGAGAAAGCAGGGGACCUUCGGGCCUUGCGCUAUCAGAUGAGCCUAGGUCGGAUUAGCUAGUUGGUGAGGUAAUGGCUCACCAAGGCGACGAUCCGUAACUGGUCUGAGAGGAUGAUCAGUCACACUGGAACUGAGACACGGUCCAGACUCCUACGGGAGGCAGCAGUGGGGAAUAUUGGACAAUGGGCGAAAGCCUGAUCCAGCCAUGCCGCGUGUGUGAAGAAGGUCUUCGGAUUGUAAAGCACUUUAAGUUGGGAGGAAGGGCAGUUACCUAAUACGUGAUUGUUUUGACGUUACCGACAGAAUAAGCACCGGCUAACUCUGUGCCAGCAGCCGCGGUAAUACAGAGGGUGCAAGCGUUAAUCGGAAUUACUGGGCGUAAAGCGCGCGUAGGUGGUUUGUUAAGUUGAAUGUGAAAUCCCCGGGCUCAACCUGGGAACUGCAUCCAAAACUGGCAAGCUAGAGUAUGGUAGAGGGUGGUGGAAUUUCCUGUGUAGCGGUGAAAUGCGUAGAUAUAGGAAGGAACACCAGUGGCGAAGGCGACCACCUGGACUGAUACUGACACUGAGGUGCGAAAGCGUGGGGAGCAACAGGAUUANAUACCCUGGUAGUCCACGCCGUAAACGAUGUCAACUANCCGUUGGGNCCUNGAGCUCUUAGUGGNCANCUAACNCAUAANUNACNCCUGGGAGUNCGCCNCAGGUAAACUCANUAAUGACGGGNCCCCCACCGGGGACUGNGNUUAUUCAACACCGAAACUCCGGCUGNUCAUGAUCUUAAAAAGAUCUCGACUUAACGGCUCUGNUCNNUNGCGAUUGUAUCCACNCNCUUCUNUCCCUAGGCUNAANCGAANGANGGAACCUGCUNCGNCCUAGGCAGNCCGGNACANNCACCCGNNAAAAGGACCCCCCGGAANNGCUGGANGGCNA